rnacentral:rRNA from 1 species
UACGUAGGUGGCAAGCGUUGUCCGGAUUUACUGGGCGUAAAGCGUGCGCAGGCGGUUCGUUAAGUUCGAUGUGAAAGCCCCGGGCUCAACCUGGGAACUGCAUUGGAAACUGGCGAGCUUGAAUGCGGCAGAGGGGGGUGGAAUUCCGCGUGUAGCAGUGAAAUGCGUAGAGAUGCGGAGGAACACCGAUGGCGAAGGCAGCCCCCUGGGCCGACAUUGACGCUCAGGCACGAAAGCGUGGGGAGCAAACAGG